UUAUAAUUUGGUAUCAUACAGGCAGAGGACGAGUUUGAGAAAAUAUACAUGAAAGGUCGAACAAUACCGGAAACAAACGACGAUGAGAGCUAUCUUUCUGCGUGUCACAAUGCGCCUAGUGAGUUUGACUGGAGAACGCAUGGAUACGUUUCUCCUGUUAAAAGUCAGGUAAAGUUAUUAUACUCUAAUAAUGUGUUGACAAAGCAAGAAAGUGGUGGCUGGUUCGUACGGUAUUCCGUUUAGACCUUCGAGAUUUUUAUUCCUGAGCCCCAUACCUCGAAAGUCGAAAUCACGAAACUACAAUUAUGAUGAAAGUCGAAUCCACGAUGUUUAGGUCGAAAAACACGAAGCUAUGAUGGGGAAAGUAGAAAUCACGAAUCCAAGAUAAUAAAAAGGCGAUAUCGUUUCGACUUUCAUUAUCAAACUUUCAACUUUUGAUUUCCAUCAUCGUAGUUUCGACUUUCACCAUCUUAGUGUCGACUUUCAUCAUCGUGUUUUCGAGUUUCCACUUUUAAAUUCGGUGAUGAAAGUCGAAAGCACGAAGGUAAAAGUCGACAACACGAUGAUGAAAGUUGAAACUACGAUGUUGGAAGUUGAAACUUUGAUUACGAAUGUCGAAAAUCGAAAGGACGAUUAUAAAAGCACGACACCACGAUGGAGAAAUCGCGAUAUGAUAUCGCGUUUUCAUUAUCGUGGUUUCGUGAUUUCGACUUUACCAUCGUAGUUUCGAGUUUUUAUCAUAGCGAUUUCGACUUUCAUCAUCAUGUUUUCGACCUUCCUCAUCGUAGUGUCGUGAUUUCGACUUUCGAGAUAUGGGGUUUAGAAAGUCCAAACGGAACACCACUGGUUCGACUGUAGUUGAAGACACCGAGUUGUGCUUUAGCCUAAUGUUUUUAUUAGGCAUCGCACCUUUGUUAAAUCACAUGGAUUUAGCCAUGAGAAAUGACGUUAUUUGUUACUGAACAAAACUUAAAUCAUUUUGUGAACUUUCAACUGAAAAUGUAAUAGAUUGCAUUCCAGACUGUAAGAAAUAUUUCGAUUGUAUAUUAGUUUUUUAACAUUCAUGACAGACGUUCCAUUUUAAAUAAAUUGCAUUGCUGUCUAUGUUGUAUGUCUUCCGACUCUUUAAGUAACUUAUAAUAUUGUUACCUGUAGUCUUGCUGCUUGCUAGAUAAUGUAUUAUAUGGCUUUCCUAUAUUCGAAGAAACUAUACUAAAUACAAACUCGAAAUUAUGUUAUUGUCCACAAUCUUCACUUUAAAGUCGUCAUGCCGAGGCGAUGUCUGAAUCAAAAUUUCUAUACAGCAGUUGCACAAUAUUCAGAAACUAUUUCCUGACAAACAGUUUGAUUUUAUAACUUCAUAUUUUAUGCAUUAAUAUCAUUUAUUAAAACACUGGAAGUUACGUGUCGAGGAGGGACCAAUGUUGUCGCUGUUUACAAAUACAUCCAAGAAAAUGGUGGCAUCGACAGUGCAGCUUGCUACCAUUCUAGUACAUCUAAGCAGAAGUGUCAUUACAAUAAAAGCUGUAAAGCUGCUAAGUGUAAUGGAUACAAAUGGGUGAAGAAAAAUGAAGACUCUCUGAAAUGUAGCUUGGUUUCUGUUGGACCAAUUGCUGUUAGCUUGGACGUCAAUCACCGCUCUUUCUGGUUAUAUAAAAAUGGUAUUUGGUACAACCCGAGAUGUUCCAAAGACAGACCAAACCAUGUUAUGUUAGCGGUAGGUUACGGUACUGAAAGCAAAGGAAUGGAUUACUGGAUAAUCAAAAACAGUUGGGGCACCAGCUGGGGAAAGCAGGGUUACGUAUUUACAUCUCGAAACAGGAACAACAUGUGUGGUGUUGCCUCUAAUGCUACCUAUCCGGCAGUAUAAACGAACCAGUCUUCUCAAUGGAAGUUUAAUAUUAAUCCACAGCCUCAUCUUCUUUUUCUUGAUGUAUUUUAUUGUUUAAUUUGAGUGAAGUGUCUUCUACUCAGGUUUACAGUUCGAAAUGAGGAACAAUAUGUUUGAUUUUGCUACUGGCUUUACAGUGAGUUGAAGCAGUGAUAUGAACGAUAUGAAAGUCAUUAUUUUCUAUUUAAUGGUAUGACGUUCAUUUGUUUUCAUGUAACUAUUUUACGGUUGGAAUAAACUCCACUACUUCCUUAAUUUACAUAGGGUUUUGGUGAUUGAUACUUGCAUUUGUUGAGGUCGCUCAUGGUACGUUGCAAGAUUUUCUGCAUGAUAUACAUUUCAUUACCUCUGGUGAAGAGACUUAAAAAAUGAGUCGGUUAUCAUUUUGUUGGGUUGCGCCUACGCUGGAUUUUCCUGUAUAUUAUAUUGAAAAUAAAAUCUGUAAAAAAGA